CUGACCUGCUUGCAGUUUCAAAAUGAGAAAAAAGGAAAAGGGGCCAAAGCAAAAGUUUGGGCACCCUGCAUGUCCAGGGGGAAAGCUGGAAACUUAAACAAGGUCUGGUUUACCAUUCACUAAGUUCAUGUCUGGUCCUCGGAUCUACUUUCUCUCACCGCCUGCCCACCGCCUACCCUGCAGUGGUGUCCACAAGUUUCAACAAUCUCAAUAAUCAAGCAUCCACUCUGGGGCAAAGAACAUUCUGGAGUGACCUUUUUUUUUGAGGGAUACCAAGCAAUAAUGCAAGGAAGUUGUCCACAUUGCUACCUGGUUUUGAAUCCAUUCCCUGAAACAUUUAUUGACAUGAAGGAGAGCUUGGCAAUAAGGAAAAAGCAGAGAUAUGCCACUAACUGGAUAGCUCACCAAACAUCCAUCAAGUCAAUCAAAAGAAUGUAGUGGUUACCCAUCAUAUCCAAUGAUGACAGUGAAACCUGUGGAGUUAAGAUCUGCUGUUCCUUAUGUUAUGAUCCCAGCCCCCUCCUUUGUGAGAAUCGCAAGAGCACCCGUCGAAGGGGGGGGUCAGUAGACCCAGUAGGAGAGAGAGAGAGAGAGAGAGAGAGAGAGAGAAACGUGCCAAAUUGCACGUCCCACCCGGGAUGCAGAAUAAGACGACAGCGACUAUUGUCUCAUGGAGACCACGUGAAAAGCCCUCGGGCAAGGUGGGCUAGUUGUGAGAGAGAUUGCAUCAUCCCAACCUGAUUGACACCUGCGACCCCGUGAGGAAGUAUAAAGGAGAGUCUCAGGGGGACAGCCCCCUCAGACGCACCAAGAAGACACGAGAGAGUGAUCCCGCAGCAGCGGGAAACCAUUCUGAAGGAAGCCACGAGUGUUAGAUUCCGGGAUUGGAAUUUGUGGCUGGAAUCACAGAAAACCGCUUUUAAUGAACAUCGGGGAGAGGAAACCAACGCUCCCCCGAUUUCACGGAAGCUUCAUCAAGACUCUGCAAGUUCUUUCUCUUCUCCCCCAAUCUCUCUCUCUCGGUCGCCCCACGUGAAACCCAGCAAUUUUCAAAGGGCUGAGGCCUGCAGACUUUCUGAGUGACUUUUAUAUUUCCAACAGACAAUCUAUUAACCCCUAGACAACAGCAGAGCUCAAUUCUUAAUGAUGAUUAUUACUAUACCCGCGCUUUAGGUUGAGUGUUGACGAUGUGCACUAUCUGAAUGUAUGUAUUAACCCUACUUUUGUGUCCCUUUAUAAAUAAAAACGUUUGAAAAUAGUGACAUCAGACUUCAACGGACCUCUCUAUCUUUGCUGGUAAGUUCUCCAGUUAUGGGAUUCGUAACACUUAAAACUUCCUCAAUCAUCUGUAUUCCCACUCAUCUUAGCCCUGUCAUACUUCUUUUUCUUUAAUGCUAUACAAUCUCUGACUUCCUUUGUCAACCACUGUGGCCCCUUCCCCCUCUUUGAAUCCUUCCUUCUCAUUGGAAUGAACUGCUUUUGCAUCUUUUGUAUUAUGCCCAAGAAUAUCUGCCACUGCUGAUCCACUGUCUUUCCUGCCAGGGCAUCCGCCCAUUUAACUUUGGCCAGCUCUUCCCUCAUGGCUCCGUAGUCUCCUUUAUUUAAUUGCAACACUGACACCUCUGAUCUGCCCUUAUCCCGCUCAAAUUGUAGAUAAAAACUUAUCAUGUUAUGAUCACUACUUCCUAAUGGCUCCUUUACUUCAAGAUCACUUAUCAAUUCCUGUUCAUUACACAUCACCAAGUCCAAAAUAGCCUCGUUCCUG